rnacentral:lncRNA from 1 species
UGAUUAAGUGUAGGGAGUUUGGAUGGGCGAGGUCCGAGCAGACAUUGCAAAUUCAAGAUGAACUCCAUAAUGCCAGAGAAGAAAUUUCAAAAUUGCAAAAGGCAUUGGAUAGCAAGAAGAUCGUCGCCACUCUCAAGAAAAUGCAACAGUGAGGUAUCCAAGUGACUGCUCCUAUCACCGACGUCAGCUCAAAAGCGUCUCUUCCAAUCACCCAUGGUGAAAGAUCUC